UGGGGAAUUUUGGACAAUGGGGGAAACCCUGAUCCAGCCAUCUCGCGUGUGCGAUGAAGGCCUUCGGGUUGUAAAGCACUUUUGGCAGGAAAGAAACGUCAUGGGUUAAAACCCCGUGAAACUGACGGUACCUGCAGAAUAAGCACCGGCUAACUACGUGCCAGCAGCCGCGGUAAUACGUAGGGUGCAAGCGUUAAUCGGAAUUACUGGGCGUAAAGCGUGCGCAGGCGGUUCGGAAAGAAAGAUGUGAAAUCCCAGAGCUCAACUUUGGAACUGCAUUUUUAACUACCGGGCUAGAGUGUGUCAGAGGGAGGUGGAAUUCCGCGUGUAGCAGUGAAAUGCGUAGAUAUGCGGAGGAACACCGAUGGCGAAGGCAGCCUCCUGGGAUAACACUGACGCUCAUGCACGAAAGCGUGGGGAGCAAACAGG
rnacentral:rRNA from 1 species